rnacentral:rRNA from 1 species
CAGCGGUUAGGAGCUUACACCCACCCGUGUUUACAUACUAUUGUUGCUUUGGCGGGCCGUGGCCUCCACUGCGGGCUCUGCUCGUGUGUGCCCGCCAGAGAACCAAACUCUGAAUGUUAGUGAUGUCUGAGUACUAUCUAAUAGUUAAAACUUUCAACAACGGAUCUCUUGGUUCUGGCAUCGAUGAAGAACGCAGCGAAAUGCGAUAAGUAAUGUGAAUUGCAGAAUUCAGUGAAUCAUCGAAUCUUUGAACGCACAUUGCGCCCUGUGGUAUUCCGCAGGGCAUGCCUGUUCGAGCGUCAUUUAACCACUCACGCCUAGCGUGGUAUUGGGGCACGCGGUCUCCGCGGCCCUCAAAAUUAGUGGCGGCGCCGGUGGGCUCUAAGCGUAGUACAUACUCCCGCUAUAGAGUUCCCCCGGUGGCUCGCCAGAACCCCCAAUUUUUACAGGUUGACCUCGGAUCAGGUAGGGAUACCCGCUGAACUUAAGCAUAUCAAUAA